CCGUCUCAAAAAAAAAAAAAAAAAAAAAUUCACAUGCUAUUCAGUACCAAUGAGCGUGUCCCUGACGUGGGUGCUCACAGACCACAGGUGGGAGCACACCAGGAGUGGGUGUUCCGAAGAGGAAGGUAACGCUUCCACCGAGAGCAGUAAAACAUUCAGACUAUUCAACUCAGAAAUUCCACUCCCAACAAUCACCAAAGGAAACCAGAGCUAAGCGGAAUAUUCACACACAAGGAGCAGUCCCCACAGAAUACAGAAUGGGCAACCUGCAUGCUCACCCACUGCCAGCCAGCGGUGGCACACCCAGAGCGGAGCAGCUGCAGCCACUCAAAUAUUAAGUUUUUAAUGACAACAGACAACAUUUAUGGUGUAAUUUAUACGAUGGCUUCGAUUACAGUGGAGAAACCAUGCAUGGGGAAUGGAUGAUUUUCCUUCUCUUCCUCUGCCUCGUACUUUCCUCCCACUCACCUACCAAACAAUCAUUAGACCCACAACAAAGGGGGCGUGAAAGAAAAAGCCUCCAAGUCCUGACAGGACGACAAAACCAGGCCUUGGAGGACGCCAGACCCGACGUGGCCAUUCCCCCCGCAUGGCAGCCAGAGCUCCCGCUGAGGGAGAAACCUGGAUUCCCUGGCCCUGAGGACCCAGGUGGGCGCUGCACUCUCUGAUGCAGAAGCAGGAGUCCCCAGGGCUCCCUGCAGCCCAGGUUUUACGGAUGAAGUGCCUAGGACAGGAAGCGCUGGCUUGAAGACCACCACAGCAGCACAGCAGAAAUGAUCUCCCAAGCCAGAGGACCGUCUAAAAUGAUCCUGUCACCAAACCAUUUGUAAGUUUGCCUUAUCAUGUGUCUGCUUUUAAAAAAGGACUUUUUUUUAAAAAAAAUCUCUUUUUAGUGAAAAUCUAGGAGCAUCUUAACCACAGAUUCCCUUCUCAUCGUAACCAAAGGACUCUCUAGGCAAUGCAGGUGGCAGUGACACCCCCAGCCCGGUCCCCAGGUCCUGUUCAUUGGCCCCAGUCACAUGCUCUGGGUAACAUCUGUCCCCAUCACAGCAGAUGAGGGCUUGUCCCUUGAUCUCAAAGAAGAAAGGGAUUAUGCAGGUAGGGUGGGAACUGUCGUGUGCCACAGAAACAAAGGCUCUCAUCUAAGCCCACCCCCGCCUGGUCUGCCUCACCAAAGAGCCCCCCAGGUUCUCAGGGAACAGCAUGACACUCAAGGCCAACUCUGUGAACUUGAGUCACAGAGAAAGGGCGGGGACAGAGCCCAGAUCCUGCAGAGCCCUGGAAGAAAAAACAUUCUUACGGUGCCAGCAAGAGGGCAGUGCCUACUCAGCAUCAGGCCACAGCAGUGCCAAUGCACUGUGCAGGUGCCAGGGCGGCAGAUGGGAGAGCAGUUGAGGCGCCUAAGGCAACAGGGGAGUCCAGGAACAGAAAGCCAGGGAAGGCUUCCUGGAGGAAGGGGCAUCUGAGCAGAGACUGAAGGGAGGGGAGGAGCAGGCAGAACAGUGGAAGAGGAGAGCAGGCACGCCAGGUGGAGGGCACACAGGCCUAGCACCAGGCGGAUUUCCGGAGGCUGAGAAGGCUUCAGGAUCACGGAGGGCAGGUCAAAGGCGAGGCUGCAGGCACUGAGAGGGCACAUCACGAACCUGCGGGCUCCUGCGCCAACCCUCCUGCAAGGAAGCAUUGUCUCUGUAGGCCAAUGUCACAGAGGCUUCGAGCCCACUGAGGGCUCCAGAGAGGCUCUGGUGCAGAGAGGAUGUGAGCUGGGCCCGGGACCCCGGCCAAGGAGGCCCAGAUGCCACACUUGGGCUCCAGAUGCCCUCCAUGGCUCCAAAUGAAGCCUACAUGAUCUCAGGGACAUUUCCAGGGUGGCCCAGGCAAGACCUUAACCACGCCUCCUCCUGUGUUGCCUUCAGGCAGAUGGGAAGAGGAAGGGGGGAGGUUCUCGCUCUGGAGCACCGUCCGGACCCUCUGAGCGACAGCAGAGCAUGGGGUGCUGAGACAUUCUAACCGAGUGGUCCCCGGAAUGGCCGGCUAUUUGGCUGCUGCCUGGGGAUGGCCACAGCUCUUCAAGGCCAGCCAGCAAACGCCCUUCCAGGACAGUCUUAUAAGCACCCUGGCUGAUGCUGGCGGAUGAGGCAGCCGCCACAGUGAAUACAGGACCGAAGAGGGACCCGCCAACGCUCUGCUCACACUUGUUUCUCUCUACCAAGGCAGCCAAGCACUAACAGCCACUAGAAGUUCCAAACCAUAUUCCAGGAAGAUGUCAAAAUCCUGUUCAUCUCCAUGUGUCACCUGAGUGUACGCCCAGCUGAGAGCAGCCCAGGCUGAUGCUGUGCAAUGGGGAGGCUGGCAGCUGGGAAGAGCCCCACCUCUCUUACGUGCACCACAGGCCCACUGAGGCCCUCACAAACCGCGGCACGGGAUGGGAGGGGCUUGGUGGAGAGGUUCCAGGAGCCAGCCUUGGGCAGCGAGGUGGGCAGAGACAGGAGGAAAAGAGGGUCUCAGUCCCCAGAGAACACGGAGAGGGCAGUGCAGAGUCAGAGUGAAGACACCGCAGGAGGGCCAGGGUGACACCUGAGUCUCCUGACACCAAGCCCACUUAACACCAGGCACCCCAGCAGGGAUGGGCACUGCCCCUGAUAGAGAGUAGCUGGGUCCCUGGGCAGAUGGGGGAAGCGCAUCCCAACCGCCACAGCACAGCGGCUUAGCCCAGCCCCAGCCUGGGCCAGAGGACUCAGGUGGCGGGGUAGCACUCAGCAGGUGGACCUCGGUGCAGCUCGGCCCUGCCAGCACAAAGCCAAGAUUACCUUGGCCUCCUGAGGAAGCUCAUUAAAAAGGCAAUCUACCUAGUGCCUGCAACAGAAAUAAAGGGAGUGGAGGCGGAGAAGAGGGACUCGGGGGGCAGGAUGCUGUCACCUGCCUGGUAGCACAACCCACUUCCAGAGUGGGCGGCAGAGGGGCAUCCUGAAGGCCCUGGAAGCCCCUCCCAACCCCACCGCAUGCUGCUGAGCUAGCAGUUUCCAGGCUGGCAGCCCACCUCCGCGAGAGGCAUCUGUGUUUUCCGUUCUUGCUCCACACAUGCUCCCUGGGCAGGGGGAGCCAGGCCGCCCUGGCGCCCCAUCAGCCCCACGUGGUCCUCCCACUCUCAUGGACAAACUCCAGAGACAGGAGGCCAAGGCCCUUCACCGUGGGGACCCACAGACAUGCGGGGCUGCAGGGAGAGUGUGCUGGUUGCAAUCUAGGGCUGAGGUGGCCUCUGCUGAGCAGGCUGGCUUCAAAGGCUCCGGCUUCUUGGCAGCCCGAAGCUUCCACGCACUCCUCUUAGGCUGCCGUUCCAAGUCCCUCUGGCAAAGGGGGUGGCCCCCACCCUCUUACCCGCCACAGGUAGGGAGGCGCCUGUUGGUACUGGUCAGUGACCAAUUCUGGAAGCCUACUGCUCUGGCUGGCAGAAAGGCGGUGGGGGCAUGGCGGCAGUCCCAGGCACAGCUCAGUCUAGCAUAGAGCGUCUGGACCGGGGCUGGGGGGCCCUGUAGCAGGAACGUGCAUCUGUGCAAAGCAGACCAAGUGCUGGGCCGGAAGUAAUCCUUCAUGGGCCCUAGACAGGCAGUUCUGUGACCACCAAGUGUAGACUGUGGCCGUAGGGAGCUCAGAACAUCACCUCCCAGGCUGGGAGCUGCUGUGCGUGCGUGCGUGUGUGUGUGUGUGUGUGUGUGUGUGUAUACGGUGGGGGGUGGGGGGAGAAAGGAAAGUGGGAAGAUGCUCCUCCAACUCUAGGACCCCCAUUUCCUGACAGUCUGAGAAAGACCACAGAGCAAGGACUGAGGGCUGUGCAGGGGAGCAGUGACUUGGACUCUGCUCAGCUCCAGGCUGGCCGGACCUUCCAGGCUCCCCGAGCACACCUGAGAGCCUGCAGCCUCUGGACCCAAGAGUGCCAGCCAACAGGCCUACAACCACCCAGCCUCCUAUCACCAGCCUGUCUGCAAACUCAACCCGAAGGCAAAUUUGGAAGAGAAACAAAAGGCAGACAAGAAGCCCUGCUCCUGGCCCUUCCCAGCCCAGACUUUGGAGAGGAAGGCCCCGAAUAACCCAACUUUAACUGCUGGAAAUCUAGCAGCACCCCAGGUUCCCCUACAAACGGCUUCCCAGGAGAGCUGCCCCGGCACCCCUCCCAUGCCCUGUGUCCUCACGCAGCUCAGCUCUGUGCUCCCCAACUCCCGCAGACAUGGGGCUGGGGGACCCCAAGAAAGAGGUGUGGCAGCACAGGUUCCCCGGACCAGCUCAGCUACCCCCAUCCUGGCUGGUGGCUUCCUGGGGAAGGUGGUCCCCCAUCGGCUGGCUUUUGUUCCUCUCUUCAGGCAAGCUUGUGCCUGGAAGAAUUUGGCUGGAAGGCCCCACUGGGAGGACAGGCGGUACUGCCUCCUCCCCGCCCCCAGCCCCAGGUCAACAGGGCCUUUGUUCUACCUGCACACACCGGCAGGCAGGCGGGCAGAGCCAGCCCCCUUCCCUGGCAGCUCCCCCACCCUCUGAAGGCAGGCACUCCAGGCACAGGGGCGGCACCUCACUACUCUCCCUUGCACUUUUGGGACCACAGUACCGAAGCGGCAAGGGGAAGCCAACACUCCAGGUGGGUCACGCACACACCCAGAAGCCCACGUCCCCAAGUCCGGCGGCCCAGACAUCGCGGCGCACAGCAGUUACAUGAUAUCUGAGGAGGCAGCAAUCAUCCUGAAAUCUUGAGGUAGCAAGGACAAUACUUAAAAAUGAUUUGCUAAAGGAGGCCAAGUGCAGUGAUGACAACCUGGUCCCUAGAUGCCACGGAUGAAUGGUUGAGCCAAUGCCAACAGAAGCCCACCUCUAAACUGAGCACUUGCUGAUGCCAUGAGGCAUGACUGUCAAGAGGACAGUCGAGCAGACCUGCUAAGAGGUGCAUACAACAAGGAACUGAGGUGUCUUCCCAUCACGUCCUGUGAGUGAGCCAUCUUAGAAGUGAAUCCUAUAGCCCCAGUUGAGCCUUCAGAUGACAGCAGCCCUGGCUAACAUCUUGACUGAAACCUUGUGAGAGACCAGAACCACCCAGACAAGCCACUCCUGGCUUUCUGACCUACACAAACCUUGAAAUAAUAAGUGUAUAUUGUUUUAGGCUACUAUACUUUGAGCAUAAUUUGUUAUGCAACACUAGAUAACUAACACACUACCUUUACCCACCAGAAUGGCUAAUAUUAAGAAGACUGAUAGUAACAAGUGUUGAUGAGAAUGUGGAGCUACUGGAACUCUUACAGUCUGCUGCUGGAAAUGUAAAUUGGAACAACCAUUUUGGGAAACAAUUUGGUAUUAUUUCUAUUACUUUCUAAAUAAUUGAAGGUAUGCAUUUCUGAUGACCCAUCCCUGAUGACCUGGCAAUCACACUUAUGGGAAUAUACCCAAUGGAAAGGUGUAUGUGUAAAUGUGCAUAUCAGGAUACAUAUAUAGAACAUUGCUAACAGCAUUAUUUAUAAUAGCCCCAAGCAAAAAAAGGACCAAAAUUUCAUUCACAGUUCAUUCUUACAAUGGAAUACUGUAAGCUAUGAAAAUUAAUGAAUUAUGACUAUACACAAUACCAGGAAUAGGUCUCAGAAGCAUAAUUCUAGUGAAAGCAGAGUCCAUAUUAUAUAAUUCUAUUUAAAUGAAGUUAUUUUUGGUGAGGUGGACACAGAAGGGUCCAUGUUAUAUAAUUCUAUUUAAAUGAAGUUCCUUUUGGUGAGGUGGAGGGGCCCCAGGGAGUUAGCCUCCCACCUCACCAAAUAAGACUUCAUGUCGUAUUUUUUACCUAGCUGGUGGUUACAUGGCUGUUUACUACAUGGUCUGCACAUUUUUGUUUUGUGUCUUUUUGUGUAAAUUUAUACCUUUAAAAUGAUUUUUUAUAAUCAUUUUAAAAUGAUUAUAAAAAAAUUUAUACUUUUACAAAACCACACAACCCAACAGCAUAACACCAAACACCACAGUCCCAUGAGUCUGUCUUAACAGCCCUCAGAGUGGGCUCAGCAGAGCAUCCUGGUGUGAGUUCAGUGGGUGCCGUUUUAUCAAGGCCAAACCAUGCAGUUGACCUGUGGUGCUCUAGAGGGCAUGACCUUCAGGAGUCCAUGGAAUGUGUGUUUCCUGGGUAAUUCUCCAUGAAAAAUAUUGCUUUAAUUAAAACUGGAGAACAGAGAGUUUGAGGUAACGUUCUCUGGUGAUAGCCUGACGUCCUGUUCCUCAGCUCGGCUGACUCAAAGCCAGUUGCUACUGUUUGAGUGUUUGUCCCCUCUAAAACUCAUGUUGAGGCUGGGUGUGGUGGCCCAUGCCUAUAAUCCCAGCACUUUGGGAGGCUGA